rnacentral:rRNA from 1 species
AGAAUCAACGCUGGCGGCGUGCCUAACACAUGCAAGUCGAACGAGAAAGGGUAGCAAUACCUGAGUAAAGUGGCGCACGGGUGAGUAACACGUGACUAACCUACCCUGGAGUGGGGGAUAACUGAGGGAAACCUUAGCUAAUACCGCAUAAUACCUACGGGUCAAAGGAGCAAUUCGCUUCAGGAGGGGGUCGCGGCCGAUUAGUUAGUUGGCGGGGUAAUGGCCCACCAAGACGAUGAUCGGUAUCCGGCCUGAGAGGGCGCACGGACACACUGGAACUGAAACACGGUCCAGACUCCUACGGGAGGCAGCAGUGGGGAAUUUUGCGCAAUGGGGGAAACCCUGACGCAGCAACGCCGCGUGGAGGAUGAAGCCCCUUGGGGUGUAAACUCCUUUCGAUCGGGACGAUUAUGACGGUACCGGAUGAAGAAGCACCGGCUAACUCUGUGCCAGCAGCCGC